CAGCCGCCGCGGUAAUACGUAGGGGGCGAGCGUUGUCCGGAAUUAUUGGGCGUAAAGCGCGCGCAGGCGGUCCUUUAAGUCUGAUGUGAAAGCCCACGGCUCAACCGUGGAGGGUCAUUGGAAACUGGGGGACUUGAGUGCAGGAGAGGAGAGCGGAAUUCCACGUGUAGCGGUGAAAUGCGUAGAGAUGUGGAGGAACACCAGUGGCGAAGGCGGCUCUCUGGCCUGCAACUGACGCUGAGGCGCGAAAGCGUGGGGAGCAACCAGGAUUAGAUACCCUGGUAGUCCACGCCGUAAACGAUGAGUGCUAAGUGUUAGAGGGGUCACACCCUUUAGUGCUGCAGCUAACGCGAUAAGCACUCCGCCUGGGGAGUACGGCCGCAAGGCUGAAACUUAAAGGAAUUGGCGGG
rnacentral:rRNA from 1 species